GGACCGGGAGGAAAUCCACACAGUCAUGGGAAGGAUGUACAAGCUCCUUACAGACAGCGGUGGAACUGAAGCUAGGUCAUUGGCACUGUAAUAGCCCAUUCCUCUGACAUUGACGGGUGGAUAAGAAAUCUAGGUUUGAACUGCAAGCAAAGGGGAUGAAUUUAAACCAGGGAAGCUGCAAGAAUGUGGACAGGUGGAGAUUUAAAAUGGCCAUAGGUACCUGGUUUCAGCAAUCCAAUUGGCUUCCAUCUCCGAACUUGUUCAGGAGAUACUGAAGUCUUUCAUCUUGAGGACAUACUAGGGUAGAAGUGACAGGAAAUCGAGGAAGAGCAGAUUGUUUGAAGAACACG